rnacentral:lncRNA from 1 species
GAAGUUCCUGAGACAAUGAGAGGGAAUGCUGGCUGCCUCUUUCUCUUUAUCUUCUCGCAGUAAAGCUCCAGUUCUCCUCGAGGUAAAGUGGAGCCUCUGAUUGACGCGAGGACGCGGGGAAAAUGAAAGCCAAAUUAUUAUUAUUUCAAGUUGUGUUCUUGCGGCGUUCCCAGAUGUCUGUGGUGACCCUCGUUUGUGUGAAGUCAACACAACUGACCAGCACACCAUCUGAAUGCUACAGCGGGAUGGAGAUGGGAGGCGAAGCCUUGGAAGCUGCAGGGUGAAUAGCUGGUGUGCACAACCCCCUAGCAACGGGCAAACAAGGACUCCGGAGUGUGGAAUGGGAGUCAGGGCUUAAUGGGCACAAAGUUUCCAUUUGGUUGUAGAGACGAUGGUGCUGAUGGCUAGAAGGCGUCUUGAAUGUGCCGAAUGCCACCAAACUGCACAAUUGAAACAGAUAAGAUGGUGAAUGUUGUGUGUGUUUUCCUGCCACCGAAUACUGUAUUCUUUUUUUUUUUUCCUGGUUCCAUGUGAGACUCUAAGGACAUGGAGGUGAGGAAGACAUGCAAGGUCCUGUCUGCAUGGAGUUUACAGUUCUGGAAGAGAUGAGAAGGAAGCUGGAUGGAGAAUAUUUGCCAUUCAUCAGUGCUCCACAGACUGUUAAGCUUUCUUCCUGGGGCCGGAGAGACAAUGCGCUUCCAGAGGACCUGAGUUUGAUUUCCAGCACCAACAUGGCAGCUCACUACAGUCUGUAACUACACUCCUGGUCAGAUGUGCAGGCACUGUGUGUGCAUAAGGAGUGUGGAUGUACAUGAAGGCAGAACACUCAUCACACGUGAAAUUAAAAAAUUAAUAUUGUUUAAAA